UUUGAAUGGAGUUUUGCGCGAGAGAGGAGCUGCCUGAGGGUGAGUUGUUGUGUUCUCGGCCCUAACGGAAACCUGACCAGAACUAACCGAAAUCCGCUUUCAGUCGCCCUCCGUUACUUUCAUACAUCUAGUUACGGUAGUUAGCAAGCUCAAAGCAGGACGCAAAGGAGAUGAUUCUUUCUAAACGGAUAGACUAUGAACAUUUUGAGACUCAGUCUCAAUAUUCGACAGACCAAGGAAGUCAAGGAGGUGAGACCGGUGGCUACAUCAGGGUAGGCAGCUAGAAGCACAACAUUAAAGUACCACUCCUAGUUUCCUUUUCACCUCCAAUUAAACACCUUGUUUACUUAAUAACAAAUGGAACAUCUGAAUAGGUGGUCCAGGUAAGUCAUGACAGCAGAACUCCCUCUUCUUCAUUGAUCCUUAACACCUUGAAAGCCAUACUCUUCAUUGAUCCUCAACACCUUGAAAGCCAUACUCUUCAUUGAUCCUCAACACCUUGAAAGCCAUACUCUUCAUUGAUCCUCAACACCUUGAAAGCCAUACUCUUCAUUGAUCCUCAACACCUUGAAAGCCAUACUCUUCAUUGAUCCUCAACACCUUGAAAGCCAUACUCUUCAUUGAUCCUCAACACCUUGAAAGCCAUACUCUUCAUUGAUCCUCAACACCUUGAAAGCCAUACUCUUCAUUGAUCCUCAACACCUUGAAAGCCAUACUCUUCAUUGAUCCUCAACACCUUGAAAGCCAUACUCUUCAUUGAUCCUCAACACCUUGAAAGCCAUACUCUUCAUUGAUCCUCAACACCUUGAAAGCCAUACUCUUCAUUGAUCCUCAACACCUUGAAAGCCAUACUCUUCAUUGAUCCUCAACACCUUGAAAGCCAUACUCUUCAUUGAUCCUCAACACCUUGAAAGCCAUACUCUUCACUUCAUUGAUCCUCAACACCUUGAAAGCCAUACUCUUCAUUGAUCCUCAACACCUUGAAAGCCAUACUCUUCAUUGAUCCUCAACACCUUGAAAGCCAUACUCUUCAUUGAUCCUCAACACCUUGAAAGCCAUACUCUUCAUUGAUCCUCAACACCUUGAAAGCCAUACUCUUCAUUGAUCCUUGAAAGCCAUACUCUUCAUUGAUCCUCAACACCUUG
rnacentral:lncRNA from 1 species